GGAGCGGUAGUUCAGUUGGUUAGAAUACCGGCCUGUCAUGCCGGAGGUCGCGCUGAUUUUCGGUAUAGCAGUCCCGUCCGCUCCGCCACU
rnacentral:tRNA from 1 species